CCUACGGGCGGCUGCAGUGGGGAAUAUUGCACAAUGGGGGAAACCCUGAUGCAGCGACGCCGCGUGAGUGAAGAAGUAUCUCGGUACGUAAAGCUCUAUCAGCAGGGAAGAUAAUGACGGUAUCUGACCAAGAAGCCCCGGCUAACUACGUGCCAGCAGCCGCGGUAAUACGGAGGGUGCAAGCGUUAUGCGGAUUUACUGGGUGUAAAGGGAGCGUAGACGGGAGCACAAGUCUGGAGUGAAAUCCCGGGGCUUAACCCCGGAACUGCAUUGGAAACUGUUCGGCUGGAGUGUAGGAGGGGUAGGCGGAAUUCCUGGUGUAGCGGUGAAAUGCGUAGAGAUUAAGAGGAACACCGAUGGCGAAGGCGGCUUACUGGAACGUAACUGACGUUGAGGCUCGAAAGCGUGGGGAGCAAACAGGAUUAGAUACCCCAGUAGUC
rnacentral:rRNA from 1 species